UUUUUUUUUAUCUUUUUUUUUUGGUUCUUUUGUUCUUUUUCUUCCCUUUGAAGGUGGGGGGAGGCGUAGAGGGGUAGGGAGGGAGACGACUUAGCAUUGGCUAAGCAUUCCUUCUCUAAUGUCAUGAACAGCAGCGAAUUUCCCUGCCUUCAGCCACUAUAAAAAUUAAGUCAAACUUUGGUGGAUGUAGUCUUAAGUUACUCCGUCCUCUAAGGUUAGUGAACACAAAAAUUAUGGUACUGCCUGCUCCAAAUCCUUUACAAGACAUGAAGAAGAUGCGUCUCCACUGGAAUAAUUCUCACCAUUUCCUGAAAUUAUUAGACCUUCAUCAGGAUUUUCAUCCUGGGUAUUGGUUCGGGUUUUUCCAGGCCUAGUACGAACAUUUACCCCCAUUGGAAACGGAACCUGAUCACCUG
rnacentral:misc_RNA from 1 species